rnacentral:misc_RNA from 1 species
GAAAUGCGAUACUUGGUGUGAAUUGCAGAAUCCCGUGAACCAUCGAGUCUUUGAACGCACAUUGCGCCCCGUGGUAUUCCGCGGGGCAUGCCUGUUCGAGCGUCAGUACAACACUCAAGCUCUGCUUGGUAUUGGACCACAUCAGCUCUGACUGAUCGGUCUUAAAAUCAGUGGCGGUGCCAUCGUGCUCUAAGCGUAGUAAUACUCCUCGCUACAGGGUCUCGGCGCGUGCUUGCCAGCAACCCCCAACUUUCUAAGUUUGACCUCGGAUCAGGUAGGGAUACCCGCUGAACUUAA